UACAGAGGGGGCAAGCGUUAUUCGGAAUUAUUGGGCGUAAAGGGCGCGUAGGCGGCUUUUCAAGUGACGGGUGAAAUCCCUCGGCUUAACCGAGGAACUGCCUGUCAGACUGGAAGGCUUGAGACCGGGAGAGGUGAGUGGAAUUCCCAGUGUAGCGGUGAAAUGCGUAGAUAUUGGGAGGAACACCAGUGGCGAAGGCGGCUCACUGGACCGGUACUGGACGCUGAGGCGCGAAAAGCGUGGGUAGCAAACAGG
rnacentral:rRNA from 1 species